GCAGGUCUUGGCCGGACCACCAUUGUCAGCGGCUGCGGUUCAAAGUGGGUUUGGGUAUUGCUGCGGCUGGCGAGGCGCCGCUCUAGUCUUGUCUGCAGAUCUGUACAGACCACAUCCUAAGAUUGACUUCUGCCUCAACAGAAAUACAUGAGCCAGUGCCUUAAUGGAAAUGAUUUGCGUGUUUUAAGAACUGGUGUAUAUACGUACAUCUUGAAUGUUGUGCUUUCCUUGCCAUAUGCCUGUACUUCACCUCAGCCUUAAAUUCCAUUGUUUCCUUGCUACUUGAUAUCUUGAAAUCUGGUACGAAACUGUUGCAUGAUCCCUGCAUCUUUGCUUGUGCAUAUAUCAUAGUUCUCUUAUAGUGAGUGUGCACAAUCUAUUUCAUUUUAUGUAAUCAAAGUUUAAUAUAUUGGAUAGUUAAAAAUAAAAUAUAACUUUAAAUGC